rnacentral:rRNA from 1 species
GACUCCUACGGGAGGCAGCAGUCGGGAAUAUUGCGCAAUGGAGGAAACUCUGACGCAGUGACGCCGCGUAUAGGAAGAAGGUUUUCGGAUUGUAAACUAUUGUCGUUAGGGAAGAUACAAGACAGUACCUAAGGAGGAAGCUCCGGCUAACUACGUGCCAGCAGCCGCGGUAAUACGUAGGGAGCAAGCGUUAUCCGGAUUUAUUGGGUGUAAAGGGUGCGUAGACGGGAAAGCAAGUUAGUUGUGAAAUCCCUCGGCUUAACUGAGGAACUGCAACUAAAACUGUUUUUCUUGAGUGUUGGAGAGGAAAGUGGAAUUCCUAGUGUAGCGGUGAAAUGCGUAGAUAUUAGGAGGAACACCGGUGGCGAAGGCGACUUUCUGGACAAUAACUGACGUUGAGGCACGAAAGUGUGGGGAGCAAACAGGAUUAGAUACCCUGGUAGUCCACACCGUAAACGAUGGAUACUAGGUGUAGGGAAUGAUUUCAUUUUCUGUGCCGUCGCAAACGCAAUAAGUAUCCCACCUGGGGAGUACGGCCGCAAGGUUGAAACUCAAAGGAAUUGACGGGGGCCCGCACAAGCAGUGGAGUAUGUGGUUUAAUUCGAAGCAACGCGAAGAACCUUACCAGGUCUUGACAUCCGAUGCAUAGUGCAGAGAUGCAUGAAGUCCUUCGGGACAUCGAGACAGGUGGUGCAUGGUUGUCGUCAGCUCGUGUCGUGAGAUGUUGGGUUAAGUCCCGCAACGAGCGCAACCCUU